GGAGCAGUUGUCUUUGGUCCCCAUUCUCCAGUAGCAUCGUUCUGCUGCUAUGGUGCCGAUCCAUGCUAUGCACCCUCAGCCUGAUGAGGGGCCACCUAAACAAAGUGACCAGCCGACCAAGAUGCUAAUCGUGCUAGACAGUGAGGACAGUGAGGAAGAGUCCAUUGAAGAGCAGCAGCCGGUUACGCCAUGGAAUGACCUGUGUAUUAUAGAUCGCGUAGGCUUCACCAGUGCUAAGAUGUCAGAGGAACAAGUGGAGAAUGCAUUCUCCCAGAUUGCGCUGGCCUUUCGUAGUGACCAGUACACCCUGAAGCAGAGGCUGCAGGCAGAGGAGCAUGCUAGGAACCUGGCUGAGGAGAACAUCCAGCUGGAGCUGAUGAGAGG
rnacentral:lncRNA from 13 species